UACGUAGGGUGCGAGCGUUGUCCGGAAUUAUUGGGCGUAAAGAGCUCGUAGGCGGUCUGUCGCGUCUGCUGUGAAAUCCCGAGGCUCAACCUCGGGCCUGCAGUGGGUACGGGGCAGACUAGAGUGCGGUAGGGGAGAUUGGAAUUCCUGGUGUAGCGGUGGAAUGCGCAGAUAUCAGGAGGAACACCGAUGGCGAAGGCAGAUCUCUGGGCCGUAACUGACGCUGAGGAGCGAAAAGCGUGGGGGAGCGAACAGG
rnacentral:rRNA from 1 species